GGUGCCCUCGGCUCCUGGCACCGGCGGCAGCGCUGUCCCCGCCAGAGACCGCGCGGCAGGGACAUCCGUGGCAUGGAAAUGAAGCGGCUGAAGCCAGCCCUCUAUCAAUGGUGCUGGGAGAGGCGCAGCCCACGUGGGGCUCGAGGGACCCACCGGGACCACUGGAAAUGCCUCCUCGAGGUGGGGGGGUUAAAGCAUCCCCAGGUACAUCCAUCCUCCUGAGGACACAGCGCUGGACCACGGCCCCCAACCCUCGCACCGACCGCAGCUCCCCGACUCGAGCCUCAGAGGGACACCCCUGGAGCACAUCCCUGCCCGCAGGUACCUGCAGCACAAACUGGUCGGGCUCACUCAGCUUCCCAGGGUUCUCCUUGUAGCUCUGGAAGCGCUGCACUUCCUCCCCAUCGGGCGCGUACAGCAGGAGCUGCUUGAUGUGGGAGGGCUCCAGCCGGUCCGUCUCCAUCGUCAUGAGGAUCUGGCGCAGCUCCAUGUGCGACAGCUUGAGUUCUCAGGCAUGAGAGUUGGCUCUGGAAGAGAAACUGAGAGAUUUAAUCAUGGGUAAGGACAGGCUCAGCCGGCUCCAGCGGGAAGAAAACUGCCCUGAAAACAGGGAAACCAUGAGUGACACAACGGAUGCUUUGCACACAGCAAUGGCUCCGGGAGUCCUUGAAUUCAGCGAUUCAAAGAUCUCCUCAAUGGAGGACUCAGCUGGAGCUGGAAAAGGCAAAACGAGAGGUGAGACACACAGAAAACCCCAGACUGCCCAGAAACAGCCCCAAAUGGAUGCAUCCCAUUUCAUGCCACUGCCGGUCCCAGCUGUAUCUGCCUGUUCUGGCUUAGCUCUGCCCAUGCUGCCAUCAUGUAUCUCGUCCCUUGCGGCAGAGCUCAGCCAUCCCAUUGGCAUUUUGCUUUUCCCAGUGUAAAUGAGGCAGCCAUGCUGCCCCAUGGAUCCCUUUGGGAAUACUGUGGGCGACAGGAGCUCUCUGCUUGCACCCUGAAUGCCUCAGUCCAUGGGUCUGCAGGAGACCCCUAUUCAAGAGCAAGAGGGGAGACGUGCAGUAGCUGCAGACCCCAUACAUAGGUCUUGUGGGGAGCUAGCAUGUUGUAUAUGCAA